rnacentral:lncRNA from 1 species
CGAAAGUAGAUAAUAAGUGAGACAAGCACCCAGUAAAUGUUUAUGAUGUGACACUGACAAAUUAUGGGCUGCUAUAAUCAAGAUAGCAUUAAAAAUUUUAAAGUGUUUGUAUGAACAAACCAUUUUGGAAGGAGUGUUUGGUGUGGCAGUGAGCAAAACAACCCAGUAACUAUGGCAGUUAGUGUUAAAGCUCUGAUUUUGACAUGAAAGGAAUAAAAAUGGAAGUCCAGCUAAAUCACAAGUGUCCUGGAGAAACUUGGAUGAGUUUCUUGGCUAGAGGUUUUUCCCACCACAGUAAGUAUUUUCAAAGGAAAACAAAGUAAAAUUUUUCUCUUGUAUGAGUCACAUCUCUGUUGGUUGUAAGUGGCUGAAACUCAUCUUGAACUACCAAGGUAAGAGAAGAAACAUACUGGUUAAUGGAAUUCCAGAAAGGACUGAACAAUCAAACCAUUUUGAAGGACAGCAUAGAGCUGGACUCUAGAACAGCCAAAACAAGGGGUUAAACCACUGCGAGGGAUCUCUCUCCAACUCUUGCUCAGGCUUUUCUCCCUGGCUUGACUUUCUUCUCUUUCACUGUAGAUUGGCUUCUCUCACAUGGCAAGAAACAUUGCUGCUAGCACUUCCCGAGUUCUACGUUCUACAACAUCCACCACUGUUUACCUGAAAUAUUUUCCAAAAAGCAAUCAAUGUGAGAAAAUGAGAGCCCUGUCUUCUUAAAAAAAUGAGUAAAAGUCCACAAGUUCAGAACAAAAGAAAAUGAGGUAAGGCCUAAAAUAAAUUGUGCUAAGAAAGCUAAAAUUCUAGACAAAGUCACAUCGGCAAAACUAGAAGGUUGGUACUGUGCUUCAGUUUACUGCUUGCUGUUUGGUUAAGAGGAGGGGUGAUGUGAUAAAAAUAGUGACGAAGUGAGAAAACUGACGUAUUAGUUUUCUAUUGCAUUAUAACAAGUCACCACAAACUUAGAGGUUUGAAAUAACGCCCAUGUAUUAUCUCGCAGUUCCUGUGUGUCAGACCUCCAGGCACUGCGUGGCUCGGCUGGGUUCUCUGCUUAGAAUCUCACAGGUCAAAAUCAAAGUAUCAAUGGGAGCUGCAGUUCUCCCAAGCUGGAGCCUGUGUCCCUUUUAAACUCUCAGGCUGCUGGCAUAAUUUAUUUCCUUAUCAAGCCAUCCAUAUGAUCCCCUCCAUCUUCAGGCCAGCAAUGGCCUGUCAAAUCCUUCUCAUUCUUUGAAAAUCUCUGACUUCCCUUUCUGUCACAGCUCUGUAACUUCUUUUCUCUUCUGCCACCAGCAGAAGAGGCUUUUAAGAGUUUAUGGGAUUAGAUUACAUCCGUCUGGAUAAUCUUUUACUUAAAGGUCAACUAUGCUAUAUAACAUAGCCAAUCACAUUCGCACAUUGCAGAGACUAGGGUAUAAAAUCUUCGGGGUCAUUCCUAGAAAUUCUGCCUGCUGCAGCCUGGUUUCUUGCUUGGACUCUAGUAUAUAUUUGCUAAAUCUCCCAAGCCUCAGUCUCACUAUUUGCAAAAGUGAGUUUUAAUGCUCUUUGCCCUGCUUGCCUCACAGGAUCUUAACAUAGACGUAAGAUCAAAUGCAAUAGCAUGUCAAACAAUGUGUAACUCCAGUUAUACAAACAUUACUGUAUCUCAUUGGGGAUACGAAGCUCUACACACUUGAAGAUGGUGAAGGAAUAUAAAAAUGUAAGUAUUGCUUUUAUAAUAAAUGUGUUCCUAUUGGCUGAAAAUUUCAAUAUCUGAUACAAAUAGUCAACUUUCUAUUUUACUUUUUCUAAUUAUGCAAGACCUUGUAAUCACAAAUGUAAAAAUUGCAAGCCACAUGCCCCUAAGGCCAAAUAAAAAUUUGUAAAAUUCUCUUAAAAAGACUCUAUAGAGUCCAAAUGAAAAUACGUCGAGUCCUUUUAAAAGGAUCCAACCACAUAUAUCAACUGAUAUACAUGGUACCAAAAACAAUGGAAUCUUUUCAGAUUCUCUAAUUGGCCUUUGGAACUUAUGUAGCAUCAGGUAUGCAAAUGAACAACUUCAGACCUUGAUUACUCCAACCUCCUCUCCCACUGUCACAGCCACUUCUGUCAUGACCUAGUUGUUCUCAGAAAGUUCCCUCUUAUACCUGGUCAAACUUCUCUUACAAUCACCUGUGACUUUCCCUCUUGGUCUUGGAUCAAAUCAUCCUAAAUACAUUAAAAGUCCUGAUUCUUCCUGUCCCUUAAAUAUAUCUCUACUUGAAUCACUGUGUUAGUUCAGGUCCUCUGAGAGAAAGAUGUUAAGAUGAAAUUAGAUGUGCAAGAGAUUCGCCGAGGUAAACCUUGUGGGAGAAAAUGGAGAGGUACAUAGAGGAGCCUGGGCAGACUGUGUGGCUACUAUGUAAGACUCAUCCCCAUGAAGGAGAAAGGAGAGGAAGGCAAAGAAGAAAAACCUUAAGAUUUCAAUUCUAAGAACGUUUUGACAAAGCUGAUUAGGAGUAUUUAAGGCAAAGCUGCCCACCAGAAGAGUACUGCAUCUUUCAGGAACGGACUUGCUUUAGUACAUCUGCUGUGCUUAGUAAUUGGCUGGGAGCAGCCAUAGAAAGCAUGGACUCAGUACAAACUUGGUGAUGAAUUUCAGAGGCAGCGGCUAAGACCAUCAGUCUAUUAUUUUCCUUGCAAUAGCUGUCAUAAUUACUAUCAGAGCAAACAAUUUUUUGUGUGUGAAUUCAUGAGAUAAUGGUCUUUUCUUUCCUGCUUUCAAGAGCCAUGUCAUUGAAAGAGCUAAUCAUUCAAAUUUAUGCUGCAUUACUGACUAAAUACUUUCAUUUAUCAUACUUUAUUUUAAAAUACUUUAACUCAUGGCCCGAUGAUUUUCAGUUAACCAAAUUCUCCCUUACUAUCCUGGUUGCCCCUUCUGUCUUUUCCUUAGAAAUGUUAUUGUAGUAUUUGCAAGAUGGCCUGAAUCCUGAACCCCCCAUCUUCAAUGAGCACCAAAUGGUAAUUAUAGAUUCCCAGCUGUAGAGCUAUGUCAGACAAAGGAAACUUCAUUAGUAUGUACCAAUGUUUGGACUCCAAAUGCUUUUGUGUCUGAGUCACAAGGACUCCUCUUCCUUGGUGGCUUAAAGUUAGGCUGAAGAAGAUUUACAUUAUGUUGUGCAUGACCUCUUUAGUUUGGUUCUACUUAUACUUUCAAGGAGGGAAGACUGGGGAAGGUGUCCCUUAGUGAGCAUAUUUUGUACAAAUGAAAACAGGGUACUAACACUUAUGCCAGGACGCAUGCAUAAACUAGGAUGGUUCUGAGAAAACUGCGAUAUAUGAUCACUCCAGGGUCUCCCCUCUCAGAAGCGAGGGAGACUUAAACCUUUUACAUCACCAAGUACAUGGAAAGAAAGACAGCAGGGAAGUGAUUCCGAAGAGAAACCUGAAAAAAGCAAUGUGGAAAGAUAGACACUUUAGCCUUUUCUUUCUUCUCAAAACUUCACAUUCCUUUUCACUCUGCUUCACUUAAGCUGCCCUAGUUCCAGAGUGUUUCCUCUCUUGGGUGAAGAUGGGAACAAGUACAUGGGGUAGCAAGGGGUGGGUGGGACCUGUGCUCCCAUUAAGGUUCUUCCAGAAUCAUUUCUAUGUGAUUAUCAGCUUGGAUCACAUGGACUUGGGGAUUAUUGGUGGUUUUCUAGGGUAAACAGGGCAUAUUGUGCUGGAGGACAUAUUUUAUAUGUAACAAUUUGGGGAAAUUUUCUUUUAUAUUAAAUAAAACUGAGAUAUGUAAUGAAUUAGGAUGAAAAAUUCAUAUUCAUCUGAAUUUUAUAAGUGAAUCAUGAGAACUCAAAGAUACUUAGCCCUUGGGACCAUUUUUUACUCCUGUUCGGAUCCCUUCAGCUAAGCAUGAUUAUUUACUAUUUUCAGCUAUUAGUUAUGUCUUGUUGAAAAAGUAUGAAAAGAGCUGCCCAAUAAAUUAGAGUGUAUGCUCAACAUUCUCUUAGCUUCUUUAUCUCUUUCCAAAAUUGGAUCAAAUGACAUUGGACAUGAUCAACUUCUUACUGUUUUGACAAACAUCUGAGGAUACUUUUAUAAUUGAUAAUUUGGACUAGAUUAUGCAAUGUGUGAUGAGACACAAGGUAGUCUGUACUCCCCAUGAUAUGUAUAUCUGUUUGAUAUACUCAAACGGUGUAUAUCAAACGGAUAUAAGUUUGAGUAGGUAUGGAGAUGAGCCAGGGUUUAUUUCUUCAACUAGUAUUUACUGAAUGGUCUUAUGUGCCACAACUGUUCUGGAAACUGUGAUACAUUAAUUAACAGAUAAAGCCUUUCCCUCACAAUGCAUAACAGACCCAACAGAGUAUGAAUGUACAUACAAACUAGUAAAUAAGAAAACAAAUAAAAGUAUUCAGAUAGUGCUAUAACUACUGGGAUGAAAAUCGAGCAGGAAGGAAAAUAUAGCCUGCUUGAUGUGGAAGACAGGGAUAGCCUCUCUGAGGAGGUGACAUUUGACCCAAGACCUAAAUGAGGAGAAGGAGACAGUGAGAUGAAAAUGAGGGAAACAGCAAUGGCAAAUACAGAGAACUUGAGACAACUUGGCCCAUUGGAGGGACAGAGACAAAGCCAAUGUGGGACCACAGGGGAUGAAAGGGAGGCUGAUUGGAGAAAUAGGCAGUGCUGAGGCCAUAAAAGGUCCUAUAGGUCAUGGAAAGACAUUUGGUUACCAUUCUAAUGACAGUGAGAUGUUACUGGGGAGUUUUAAACUGGAGAAUGUCAUAACUGUCCAGAUGUAACCAAAUAGUAAAACCAUUCUUCCUGAAUAACUUGGCUAAAAGGAAUAUUAUGACUACAGAUGUACAUGAAGAUUAAGCAGAACAUGGAAGAAAGGCCUCAAGUAAACUUGACCUCACAUAAAUAUGGGAGGAAGAUCAAAUGGAAGCUGGGAGUGUUGAAAGAAUGUAAGGGGAAUGACUUCUAAUAAUGAACAAAAAGCUGUUAUUUUAUUAUGAAGAAAAAUGUUAUGCAUCUUAUGCAUGCAGAAGAAAUUCCCAUUCAAAAGACUUGGAAAAUGUCUUGGGUGUUUACUAUAAUAAACCUUUUAAGAUAUAGAAAAUUCACAUAUUUAGAGCUUAAUUUCUAAAGAGCUCAGACUUCUCAGUUUAUUAUAUGCUAUGAAAUUUUGUUUAUUUUUAAUUUAACCUACUUGUGUGCAAAAUCAAUAAGGAAGCUUAAGGAAUAUAAACAACUAUUUAACAUGGCCAUUUAAAUAGAUUCAAAGUAAAGAAUAUCAGCAUAGUGUUUCUUUGAUAUGACAACCCCUCCUCCCAGGGCACUUAAAUGAAGGGUUGGGGGGGAAUCUUAACCUGAAAUUGAAAACCCUGAAAUCAUGUUUCCAAGGAAGGAGAAGGAAAAUAGGAAAAACAAAAACAAAAAGCAGCAACUCAUUUGGAAGCUCGUGGGAGAGGAGAGGAGGAUUCAUACAUCUCGGACUGGUUUGCCUUAGCAAGUGAAUCAUUUAAAUAGGAAAAAACAGGGGGCUGACUCAGCUUGAGCAAACUCUUGCUAUCCCCUGCUGAGGUCCGCACUUGCUGUGGCCCCUGCCGCUCUCCUCGGACCUUGCUGCCCUCCUCCUUUGUCACUGUGGAGAAACAGGAAGGAAUGUUUAUUAGCAAGACUGACUGGGGUCACACCCAAGGCAAUAUCAGGUUUUUACCUCUCCCAGGCCUGGGAAGAGGUUCAAGGAUCAAGGACAAGCUCCCGGUUAGAGUGAGAGGCAAGUUCAAACCUUUGAAAAAUAAACUCACAACCAGCAUUUGGCACAGGCCUCUGGAGUUUACAGAAUGUAUCUGCCUGUGUGUGAUUUCAUUAGUUCCUCCUGCCAAUCUAAUGAGAUUUUACGUCCUGUAACAGUGAGGCAAUUGGAGUCUCAGCAGGGAAAGGAACUUGCCUAAAACUGCAGGAUGGGUAGCGCUUGGAUCCUGACUUUCUGACUCCUAGGACUGUGCUGUCUUCAGAUGAUCACAUGCCUUCUUGGCAGAUGUUUCUAACAAAGGAGAGAGUUGCCCAGGGUGGGGCUCUGCUAGCUCCCUUGUCAUGAGCCAUUCUCUCCACAUUGCCUUUUAGUUGCACCACAUAGUCACCUUCAAUUAGCUGUGCGAAUAGGCUCACUCUUAUGCUAACAUGUACUAAAAGUGAAAAUGGGGAGAGAGAGAGAGAGAGAGAAAGAGAGACACACAGAGAGAGAGACUCAUAUUAUGGUAUGUUCCCUGCCCCACCCCACUCCACUCCCUCUCAACAGGGAGAAAGUACCUGAAGAAAAUCAUUGCUAUGAAGGGCAUAGCCAGCUAAAUGGGUGUCACUUAGUCUGAAAAAUCUCAAAGAUGUCAAUAAGCCACUCGAGACAACAAGGAACCUGUUUUCCUGUCAUCAUUCCUUCUCAGUCCUUGGCUUUGGGAAGGGUAACUUUAUGGAGAGAGAAGAACCUCUGUGGAGUUAAAAGGUUUAUGAACUUUUUUCCCUGCAACAAAUCAGUGACAGCUGUUCCACAGGCUGAUGGUUUUCCCUUUACCUUUCGUUUUUUAACAGCUAUGUCUCACAGUCCAGACUUGGAGUACAAGUAAUAAGAAGAAUAAAACUUAAUCCCUUAAGUAGAUUCACCAUAAGUUAGCUCAGAGCAAUUCCAGUGCAAGUAUGGUCUGUGAUCCAGUAGGUGAGUGACUCUGCUGCUGAAAUUCACAUGUAUGUGAAUUUCACAGUGGCCUUUGCGGAAGAACAAGGAAGAAAAAAAGGGUCAUGAGCUUAUUCACUGCCAAUAUUUAUUAUAUGGAACAAUGACCAUCCUUCAGAAGUGUUUGUUCUCUAUUAUACUGUAGGUGUGGAAGAAUUAUCAUUGCUCAAUAGCUGUCUCAGUCACUACCUGAUAGACUUGGGAGGUCUGGCUAUUUCAGGGCGCAUUUGACAUACAGUGACAUUUUUGGAUUAAAGCUUUCAUGAUGAGUGCCAGUCUGGGUCCAAAAGGGUUGAAAGCUGUCGCCAUCUAUAGGCUAGUUGUUUGUAGUAAAAUACUUUCCCUCACUGCAUUAGGUUCUUGGUACCAUUUAUCUAGCAGAGUUCUUCAGUGGGCUUGAGGCUUAGCAGUCAAGUUAAAACAAUAACCAACAUCCCAAACCCAGUGGCUGUCAAAUUUCAGUGAGGUGGCAUAGAACUUUAGCAUGAACUUGAGCUUGGGUUCAGCUAGACUUUCAUAUAAAUCCUUGUUUGAAGUUAGUAGCUGUGUGAUCUUGGGCACUGAUAUUAAACCUUUAUGAGAAAGUUAUGUCUGAAAUAUGGGAAAUAAACCUUCCACUUAGGUUGUUGUGAAGAUUCAAUGAGUUGUAACGAUUGUAUACACUAUAAUGAUCUAUAUUACAGUUGUUUCAUAAAUAUGAUUGCCUUCAUUUUAUUCUUUCCUUGUCUCGUUCUUCCCAGUAUCUUACAGACAGCAAGUUGAACAUUGUGGGAUGCAUGAGCUAUUGAGGCCUUUGCAGCUUUCUGCUACAUGGAGGCUAGGGCCAGAGUCAAGAUUUAUGCUUUGCAGCACACUGGUCAGCUGUUUUUGCAAAUCAGAUUAAAUGAUUUUUAAAUGAGGCUGAGAGCAUGGGAGAUACUAAUGUGUGUUUCCUUGUGAGCUACUGCAUAAGUAAGUGCUUUGUAAAAUGUCAGGGGCUCCAGGAUUAUAUGGUAUUACUGUCACUAUUGUAAGCACUUCUACCUUUUUUUUCUCCUUUUACAGGUUAGGAAAUUGAAAUACAGAAAGAUGAAAAGUGAUUUGCCCAAGCAUAUAGAUCAAAGCUGUGGCAGAACCAGGACUGGAACCUAUAUCUCUCUACUAAUGGUUUUUUUAAAAAAAUAACCUUGUUUCAAAAAUAUUAAAAAGUCACAAGAAAGGUAAACAUGUGGAUAAACAAAAUGAAGAAAAUAAAAAUUAUCCAGUAAUAACAUAUUGGCAUAUGUCUUUCUGGUAUAUUUUCCUGUGUUGUCAUCAUUAUCAUCUCCAUCAUCAUUAUAUCCAUCAUUAUCAUCAUCAUCAUCAUCAUCAUCAUCAUUAUCAUCACCAUAGUGAACAUGUAAUGCUUACCUAGUGCCAGAUGCUGUCUAGGCAUUUUACAUGUGUUACUGGUAACUCAUGUAAUCCUCAUAACAACCUUAUAAGGUGGUUGCUAUUAUCCCCAUGUUACAUAUGAAGAGACAGAAGCAUAAAGAAGUUGCACCGCUGGUAAUUGGCUGGGAUUUGAACUUAAGCAGUCUAACCUUAGAGUAAUGAUUUUAACAACUAUGCUAUAUACAUACAAAUUUACAAAAUAAAACUGGGCUCAGACAAUAAAAACAGCUCUCUUUUCAUGUUAUUGCCUUCGCCUCCCAAAGUGCUGGUAUUACAGGCAUGAGCCACUGUGCCCAGCCUAAAUGUUUUCUUUAAAAGCAAGGUAAGUAUGCCUAGAUGCACUGCCUCUUAGUAAUUUUUGAGGAUGGAUUAUUCAUUAAAUUGCUUCCCUUUCUCACAGCUGGUGAAUUAGAACGAUAGUGAGCUUACAAGAGCUUUAACGAGGAAAAGAUGGUCAUUGUUUAACAGAGAAGGAUGGUUUGGGUGAGCAUUUUUGUGUUUUUGGAGGGGAACUUUGAGGGCAAUGAGUGUUGCACCUGUGUCCACUGAGGAUCUCUGGGCGGGGUAAAAGGAAGGCAGGGAUGAGAGUGAGGAAGGGAGACAGGAGGGUCCCAAAUACGAACUUUGACUUAACGAGGAUGAUUACUAGAAGGGAAAGAUUGUGGAUUCAUUGAUGAGAUGUUGAACCAUGAAAACUCUAAUUGUAGAACUCACUUCAGACUGAAUUGACUUGGCUUUCAGUAGCAGAAGCCCUUUGUCUACUUCUCUAGUAUUGAAGUGAAUGCAAAUUUCUCAAUGUAAGAAAAGUAGAGUGGUGAAAUAAGAGUGUGGGUUCCAGGGUCAGACAACUGGGUGCAUAAAAAGGGUAAGGAUGCUACAACUGGUAAGCCCUGUGAGAAUUAUUUAAUCCUUCCAUGUCUCAUUCCGCUCAUCUGGAAAAUGAUGAUCAUACUAACUUAUGAGAUGUGUGUACAGACUAGAUAUAAUAUUAAAACAUUU